CAGCAGCCGCGGUAAUACGGAGGGGGCUAGCGUUGUUCGGAAUUACUGGGCGUAAAGCGCACGUAGGCGGCUUGGUAAGUUAGAGGUGAAAGCCUGGAGCUCAACUCCAGAAUUGCCUUUAAGACUGCCGAGCUAGCAGGUGAGAGAGGUAAGUGGAAUUCCGAGUGUAGAGGUGAAAUUCGUAGAUAUUCGGAAGAACACCAGUGGCGAAGGCGGCUUACUGGCUCAUACUGGACGCUGAGAUGCGAAAGCGUGGGGAGCAAGCAGGAUUAGAUACCCGGGUAGUCCCUGUCUCUUAUAC
rnacentral:rRNA from 1 species